GAGAUUAAAUUUUACAAAGUGCCUUAAACAUCUAAAAUUCACAUUCAUCUUGAGUUAAAUUUAUAUUAAUUAUCGGUUUUACUCCACUUUUAUUAUUUNGUUCAACCGAACCCACAAGCAAACCAGAAUUCAAAGUUUCAUCGACAAUUCCAACCGAAGCCUCAAUCGACGAAAUGACCAACGGUUGAUCAAAAAUCAAAGCAAAUUGUGCUUAACGUCGACAAGACAAGACAAUGCAAAAUCCGACAAGUUUGGAUUCGGAAAGGUGAUAUCUUUCCUUGCCCUUCAUCUUAAUUUGUUUUGAUUGAUUAUGUAAUGCUUUGUUUGGUGCUUGUUGCAUAUUUUCUAUUCAUUGCAUUACAUGAUGAUUUUCGAGUAUGAAAUUUAUUUUUAAAAUUGAUUUGAGGAAAAGUGUUUGGGAUUUUAAUUUUUUUUGAAAAAGGAGACAAUUGAAAUUCUUUAUUUUGGGGAGAUUAGAAUUUUUCAAAGUGUUUUUAAUCGAAAUUCUUCUUGAAUUAAAUUCAUAUUAAUUAUCGGUUUUACUCCACUUUUUAUUAUUUUGACGAUAAUUUAAUAUAUGAUUUCUUAAUACAUAUAUUCAACAAAAUUUUGAAAUCAAAUUUGAUCUCUU
rnacentral:lncRNA from 1 species